rnacentral:rRNA from 1 species
GAUGAACGCUGGCGGCGUGCCUAACACAUGCAAGUCGAGCGAUUUACUUCGGUAAAGAGCGGCGGACGGGUGAGUAACGCGUGGGUAACCUGCCUCAUACACAGGGAUAACAUACCGAAAGGUAUGCUAAUACAAGAUGAUAUAAGAGAUUCGCAUGGAUUUCUUAUCAAAGCUCCGGCGGUAUGAGACGGACCCGCGUCUGAUUAGCUAGUUGGUAAGGUAACGGCUUACCAAGGCGACGAUCAGUAGCUGACCGGAGACGGUGAUCGGCCACAGUGGGACUGAGACACGGUCCAAACUGCAACGGGAGGCAGCAGUGCGGAAUAAUGCACAAUGGGCGAAAGCCUGAUGCAGCAACGCCGCGUGAGCGAUGAAAGCCUUCGGGUCGUAAAGCUCUGUCCCCAAGGAAGAUAAUGACGGUACUUGAGGAGGAAGCCCCGGCUAACUACGUGCCAGCCGCAGCCGUAAUAC